UAAGGGCUCACCAAGGCGACGAUCCCUAGCUGGUCUGAGAGGAUGAUCAGCCACACUGGAACUGAGACACGGUCCAGACUCCUACGGGAGGCAGCAGUGGGGAAUAUUGCACAAUGGGCGCAAGCCUGAUGCAGCCAUGCCGCGUGUAUGAAGAAGGCCUUCGGGUUGUAAAGUACUUUCAGCAGUGAGGAAGGYGGAGUCGUUAAUAGCGGCAUCAUUUGACGUUAGCUGCAGAAGAAGCACCGGCUAACUCCGUGCCAGCAGCCGCGGUAAUACGGAGGGUGCGAGCGUUAAUCGGAAUUACUGGGCGUAAAGCGCAUGCAGGUGGUUUGUUAAGUCAGAUGUGAAAGCCCGGGGCUCAACCUCGGAAUUGCAUUUGAAACUGGCAGACUAGAGUACUGUAGAGGGGGGUAGAAUUUCAGGUGU
rnacentral:rRNA from 1 species